CUGUGAGGACCCUGACCUAUUGAAAUCCUGUGAGGACCCUGACCAAUUGAGAGCAGCCCUGAAGAGAAGGAGACAGGAGUACUGGGGGAUCAGAGGCUGAACAUGAGCCAGAAUUGUGAACUCACAGCCCAGAAAGUCAAGUGUCCUCUGGGUUGCAUCAAAGGAAGUAUGACCAGCAGCUUGAGGGUAGUGAUCCUCCCUCUCAGCUUGUCUCAAGAGAUUCCCCCCUGGAGUACCGUGUUCAGCCCCGGGGCUGUCAGCAGAAGCAGGACACAGAGUGAAGGAGUUGUACUUGUCUCCCUACAUUAUCAAUGUGUUAAUAAGCCAGUCAACAAUGGAAUAAGAUUAAAGCAGCUAGCAGAACAAAACCCAGACUGUUUUGGAUCUGGCCCAUCUUCAGGUGUACAAAGAAAAGCAGUAAAAAAAAGAAAAAUCAGUUGAAAGUUGCUGACCAAAAAUUGUCAACACCUCUGACCUUGCUGUACCUAACCAGGCUGGUAGAGACUGGCCACAUCUCAAGAAUAAUCAA